rnacentral:rRNA from 1 species
CCUACGGGGGGCAGCAGUGGGGAAUAUUGGACAAUGGGCGAAAGCCUGAUCCAGCAAUGCCGCGUGAGUGAUGAAGGCCUUAGGGUUGUAAAGCUCUUUUACCCGGGAUGAUAAUGACAGUACCGGGAGAAUAAGCCCCGGCUAACUCCGUGCCAGCAGCCGCGGUAAUACGGAGGGGGCUAGCGUUGUUCGGAAUUACUGGGCGUAAAGCGCACGUAGGCGGUUAUUCAAGUCAGAGGUGAAAGCCUGGAGCUCAACUCCAGAACUGCCUUUGAAACUAGAUAACUAGAAUCAUGGAGAGGUGAGUGGAAUUCCGAGUGUAGAGGUGAAAUUCGUAGAUAUUCGGAAGAACACCAGUGGCGAAGGCGGCUCACUGGACAUGUAUUGACGCUGAGGUGCGAAAGCGUGGGGAGCAAACAGGAUUAGAUACCCUAGUAGUC